UUACCCACUCCCAGCACGGGGAGGUAGUGACGAAAAAUAACGAUACGGGACUCAUCCGAGGCCCCGUAAUCGGAAUGAGUAUACUUUAAAACUUUUCCCGAGGAUCAAUUGGAGGGUAAGUCUGGUGCCAGCAGCCGCGGUAAUUCCAGCUCCAAUAGCGUAUAUUAAAGUUGUUGCGGUUAAAAAGCUCGUAGUCGAAUCUGUGUCCCGCGCCGCUGGUUCAUCGCUCGCGGUGUUCAACUGGCGUGUCUCGCGGGACGUCCUGCCGGUGGGCGCUCGUAUCGUUUCGGCGGUGCGUGGCCCAACUCGUAGCCGUCUCGCGCGGUUGCGAAUCCCAUCGCGGUGCUCUUUAUUGAGUGUCGAGGUGGGCCGGCACGUUUACUUUGAACAAAUUAGAGUGCUUAAAGCAGGCCAAUUUUGCCUGAAUAUUGUGUGCAUGGAAUAAUAGAAUAGGACCUCGGUUCUAUUUUGUUGGUUUUCGGAACCCCGAGGUAAUGAUUAAUAGGAACGGAUGGGGGCAUUCGUAUUGCGACGUUAGAGGUGAAAUUCUUGGAUCGUCGCAAGACGGACAGAAGCGAAAGCAUUUGCCAAAAACGCUUUCAUUGAUCAAGAACGAAAGUUAGAGGUUCGAAGGCGAUCAGAUACCGCCCUAGUUCUAACCAUAAACGAUGCCAGCUAGCGAUCCGCCGACGUUCCUCCGAUGACUCGGCGGGCAGCUUCCGGGAAACCAAAGCUUUUGGGUUCCGGGGGAAGUAUGGUUGCAAAGCUGAAACUUAAAGGAAUUGACGGAAGGGCACCACCAGGAGUGGAGCCUGCGGCUUAAUUUGACUCAACACGGGACACCUUACCAGGCCCGGACACCGGAAGGAUUGACAGAUUGAGAGCUCUUUCUUGAUU
rnacentral:rRNA from 1 species